rnacentral:lncRNA from 1 species
CUCGAACAUGGCCGUGAUGUCAUUAGCUCUCCAACAAACCUUUCUCUCGUUGUCAUGCCAAUCUUUUCCUAGUCUUCCCAACACCAUCCUCAGGUCACUUAUGUUCACUCCCUCAUCGUCGUUUAAGUUACUGAGAACAGAACAAGAUUCUGGAGAUUGAUGUAAGUUUGUAGUGAUGCAAGUUUCAGCAGUAGAGCCAAGUUGACAUCUUUGGGACUUGAGUUGCGUUAAGGCCGUCCAUAGAAAGGAGAGCAGCGACAUGAAAGAGUGGGUUAGAUGGAAGAGAC